AUCACUAUAGUCGCCGUCAGCUGAAAUUCGUAGCGGUUAUCAGUAAAAAUAAUCUAAACUAUCAAUCGCGUUCACUCGAGAUAUAGUUUUUCACAUUCCAUUCAUAAAUCGCAAAAAGAAAAACCACUACUGACCUACCUUUUAAGUGAUCGCACUGUAAUAAUCCUGACCUUCACUUUUUCAUAGACGAUUUUGAAUGGUGGAAUCAGCCAUUGUUUUUACCGGAAGUGUUUCCGUGGAGUUCAAUUUCAUAAAAUUUGCAUAAAGCGCGGGAAACAUUAUCACAUCAAUGAAAGGAACAUUUCAGGAAACUGCGUACAGUGACGAAUGUCAUAUGUAAACAAAUGAUCCUCAUAGAAACGAAGAUGGCGGAAUUACAAUGGAAAAAUAUUCUGGAAAAUGUGAAGGUCAGGAUUAUUACAGUGCGAUCACUUAAAAGGUAGGUCAGUAGUGGUUUUUCUUUUUGCGAUUUAUGAAUGGAAUGUGAAAAACUAUAUCUCGAGUGAACGCGAUUGAUAGUUUAGAUUAUUUUUACCGAUAACCGCUACGAAUUUCAGCUGACGGCGACUAUA
rnacentral:lncRNA from 1 species